AAUGAACGCUGGCGGCGUGCUUAACACAUGCAAGUUGAACGAGAAAGGCUGAUUUCGGUUGGCCGAGUAAAGUGGCGCACGGGUGAGUAACGCGUAGGCAACCUACCCUUGUAUUGGGGAUAACCCUGCGAAAGUGGGGCUAAUACCGGAUAAGACCCGAUUCUGGAGGGAAUUGGGUGAAAGUCGGCCGCUCGGAGAAGCUGACGUACGAGGAUGGGCCUGCGUCCUAUCAGCUAGUUGGUGGGGUAGAGGCCUACCAAGGCGACGACGGGUAGCUGGUCUGAGAGGAUGAUCAGCCACACUGGCACUGGAACACGGGCCAGACUCCUACGGGAGGCAGCAGUGAGGAAUUUUGCGCAAUGGCCGCAAGGCUGACGCAGCAACGCCGCGUGGGUGAUGAAGGCCUUCGGGUCGUAAAGCCCUGUCAGGUGGGAAGAAAGGUUUCAAGGAGAAACACUUGGGAUUUGACGGUACCACCAGAGGAAGCACCGGCUAACUCCGUG
rnacentral:rRNA from 1 species